rnacentral:lncRNA from 7 species
AAGCUGAGGCAGUUCAUCUGAGACGUGCUGUAUUAGCAGCUUCAGUGUUUUCUUACCCAAAUGCCUCCCAGUAACCACCAUUAGCUAUGCAUUUUUGCCUGUGAUGAAAAACGAUCUACGUGCUUGUAGAAUCCAUAUAAGCAUCUCAUAUCCACCACAUCCCUUGGAAGAAUCAGCACAACCUGUUCCAUGCCUCACAAGCCCAGAGGCCUCUUGCAUGUACCUCCCCGUCAUUUCUUCUGUACCCUGAAGAUACCUGUUCUACAUGCACUGUUCUAUGCUACCUGGGAAGGGCAAAAGCCAUCCUCCUCUAUUCCCAUCCAUGAGGGAACAGUUUCACGCGUGACUUCUAAGCCAGUGAAAGACUGCCUACUCACAGAGGAUGAUGUUCAGUCUGCUUCCUCCUCUCUUCUGGAGACAAACCCUACCAAAGAAACCAAAGCCUGUACCCUAUUGGCCAAGCUUUCAUGUAAGCAAAGGGAGAGAUGCCCAAAGAUGUCUUCUGCCAGCGCUCAUGGGAACUGAAGCUAAAGUCAUCACAUUGUCAUAGUCAUUACUUCGCAGGCAUGGGUUGAUGGUUGUACUAGGUGAACUUAUGGUCUUUCCAACCCUUAUGAUUCUAUGAUCUGUGCUCCUCACACUCCUUGGCAACCCGUAGGGAUGCUCUGCUCCUGAGUUUGUAGAGAAGAAACUACUCUCCCUUUUUGGCUUUCAUCUUUUAUGCUUGAGCACAUGGUGAUAUCAACGAACAUGGAUUCUAGUCUGGAAAGCUGCUUGCCACUGACUGCAGGGGACAAUUUAAUCUUCAUGUUAACUUCACUGCUGGGCUUCCUAGAUGGUUGUUUUGCUGCCUGAGCCUGAAGCAGCAAGUGAGGAAGGGGAGUCAAAAAGAGAAAUUAACUCCCUGGGCUGAAAUUUCAACGCACUCUGAUUUUCCUCUACAAAGGCGGAACAGGCUUAGAGGAAAGGGCUGCUCAAGCCUGGUCAGAGCCUUCCUGAAGGCAGGUAUCUGCAGUGCUACCCUUCCUGGAGAAGGAAUAAAUCUGGAUAUCCCAGCAUCAAAAACAGGCUAUUUACCUCUUUAAGAACAUCCCCUUACUGCACCUUUCCUCUGCUCUCAAUAUUAAGUUUGCCUUUCCUCUCUCUUUCUUCUCUUUGCUUUUCCUGGGCCUCCGAAGAUCUGGACACUGUGUCCCUCCCACAGAAAGAGGGUAGAAAAAUACUAUGAGGUUGCAGCCCUAUUCUAGCUUGGCAGCUGCUGGUUCUGCGUGUCCAUCUUCCUCCACUACUCUCUCCCCCACUGUUAGAUUCAAUUUCAUAAAUAAAUACCCCACGUAUUGACGUCAUUAUAGGCCUUGAGAAAUAAUACUCCUGCCGCUUUCUUUGCUAAGCAUGGGGAACGGAGGAGAGAGGGAGGAGGAACAGAAGCAACAACGUCUUGGAAGAUGAAGACUUAAUAUUCUCCUAAUCGCCUGCCUCCCUUUGCGGCUAUGACCCAGCUGUGAAGAAUACAAAGAUUACCAUUAUCAGCGUGCCCUUGUGGCUUGAGAAAGGAUAAUUGAGUAUCAAAAAUUCCUAUUACAGAUGAUUUUUAUUAGGAGAGAGGAUGAUGGGGACAUACUCUGUCCUAGAAGCUGGAAGGGUACCCUCAACAGUGUACCCCUGUGCUCCUGUCAUGAAAUUAAGAAAUUUGUAUCCAAAACGUGCUUACAGUUCAUGUUUCUGCGUCUAAGACACCAGUGAUGUUUCCAGCCAUGUCUCAUUGAAAAUCUCUUUCCCUCACUUCAUUUCUGGAGGUCAAGUGGCUGCUUCAUAGACUAAGCUGUGACAAGUCAAA